CAUGUACUCCCUCCGUUCGGAAUUACUUGUUUCGGAAAUAGAUGUAUCUAUAACUAAAAUAUGUCUAGAUACAUCCAUUCCUACGACAAGUAAUUCCGAAUGGAGGGAGUAUAUA
rfam:Triticum urartu cultivar G1812 contig917400, whole genome shotgun sequence.